AUUGAACGCUGGCGGCAGGCUUAACACAUGCAAGUCGAACGGUAACAGGGAGAAACUUGUUUCUCUGCUGACGAGUGGCGGACGGGUGAGUAAUGCUUGGGAAUCUGCCUUAUGGAGGGGGAUAACCACUGGAAGCGGUGGCUAAUACCGCGUAAUAUCUUCGGAUUAAAGUGUGGGACUUUCGAGCCACACGCCAUAAGAUGAGCCCAAGUGAGAUUAGGUUGUUGGUGAGGUAAUGGCUCACCAAGCUUACGAUCUCUAGCUGGUUUGAGAGGAUGACCAGCCACACUGGGACUGAGACACGGCCCAGACUCCUACGGGAGGCAGCAGUGGGGAAUAUUGCACAAUGGGCGCAAGCCUGAUGCAGCCAUGCCGCGUGAAUGAAGAAGGCCUUAGGGUUGUAAAGUUCUUUCAUUAGUGAGAAAGCGGUUAUAUCUAAUAGGUGUAACCAUUGAUGUUAGCUAAAGAAGAAGCACCGGCUAACUCCGUGCCAGCAGCCGCGGUAAUACGGAGGGUGCGAGCGUUAAUCGGAAUGACUGGGCGUAAAGGGCACGCAGGCGGUUAUUUAAGUCAGAUGUGAAAGCCCCGAGCUUAACUUGGGAAUUGCAUUUGAUACUGGGUAACUAGAGUCCUCUAGGGAGGGGUAGAAUUCCAUGUGUAGCGGUGAAAUGCGUAGAGAUGUGGAGGAAUACCGAAGGCGAAGGCAGCCCCUUGGAGAGAGACUGACGCUCAUGUGCGAAAGCGUGGGUAGCAAACAGG
rnacentral:rRNA from 1 species